rnacentral:rRNA from 1 species
GUCUUUUUGUUAAUAAUAUAAAGUCUAAUCUGCCCAUUGAUAAAUUUAAAAGGCCGCAGUAUUUUAACUGUGCAAAGGUAGCAUAAUAAAUAGUUUUUUAAUUAGAAGCUGGAAUGAAUGAUUGAAUGAGAUUUUUACUGUCUUUUUAAAAUUGUUUUAGAAUUUAAUUUUUAAGUUAAAAAGCUUAAAUAUUAUUAAAGGACGAGAAGACCCUUUAAAGCUUUAUAUUAAUUUUUUAAUAUAAAAUUAAAAUUAGAGUAAUUUUAUUUAUAAGAUAAUAUUGUAUUGGGGUGAUAGGAAAAUUUAAUAAACUUUUUUUAUAUAAUAACAUAAAUUAAUGAAUAUUUGAUCCAUUAAUAAUGAUUAAAAGAUCAAGUUACUUAAGGGAUAACAGCGUAAUAUUUUUAGAGAGUUCUUAUUAAUAAAAAAGUUUGCGACCUCGAUGUUGGAUUAAGAUAAUUUUUGGGGGCAGGUGUUCAAAAAUUUGGUCUGUUCGACCAUUAAUUCUUA